ACUAUGAUGCGCUGCUAUAAUGCAGUCGAGCGCGGGAAGCGAGCUGAUCCCUUCGGGGUGACGCUCGUGGAACGAGCGGCGGACGGGUGAGUAACACGUGGGCAACCUGCCUGUAAGAUCGGGAUAACUCCGGGAAACCGGGGCUAAUACCGGGUAAUACUUUCUUUCGCAUGAAGGAAAGUUGAAAGAUGGCUUCUCGCUAUCACUUACAGAUGGGCCCGCGGCGCAUUAGCUAGUUGGUGAGGUAACGGCUCACCAAGGCGACGAUGCGUAGCCGACCUGAGAGGGUGAUCGGCCACACUGGGACUGAGACACGGCCCAGACUCCUACGGGAGGCAGCAGUAGGGAAUCUUCCGCAAUGGACGAAAGUCUGACGGAGCAACGCCGCGUGAACGAUGAAGGUCUUCGGAUCGUAAAGUUCUGUUGUUAGGGAAGAACAAGUACCGUGCGAAUAGAGCGGUACCUUGACGGUACCUAACGAGGAAGCCCCGGCUAACUACGUGCCAGCAGCCGCGGUAAUACGUAGGGGGCAAGCGUUGUCCGGAAUUAUUGGGCGUAAAGCGCGCGCAGGCGGUUCCUUAAGUCUGAUGUGAAAGCCCACGGCUCAACCGUGGAGGGUCAUUGGAAACUGGGGAACUUGAGGACAGAAGAGGAGAGUGGAAUUCCACGUGUAGCGGUGAAAUGCGUAGAUAUGUGGAGGAACACCAGUGGCGAAGGCGACUCUCUGGGUCUGUUUCUGACGCUGAGGUGCGAAA
rnacentral:rRNA from 1 species